AGACGAGGUUGAUUGCUUGCCGCGUAAUGGGGAGUGUUGAGGAUUCCCUGAGACAGUCCAUGUACAGUGAGUGACGGGCGUCCUGUCUGGAACGUUCAUUUGUCCGUUCAGCAGGUGUGAAUCGGAUGCCGCCUUCGUGCGGGCACGGUGCUACCCGCUGGGCCCACAAGAGUGGGUGCGGCCGACGGGGACCCUGUGCUCCAAGCAUCCUGUGAAAGGCGGCUAGAAAAAAGUGGCAAAGGGGCGCCUGGGUGGCGCAGUCGGUCGAGUGUCCAGCUUCCUUCCGCUCAGGUCGGGAUCCCGCGGUUUGUGAGUUCGAGUCCCAGAUGGGGUUCACCGCUGUCAACGCAGAGCCUGCUUCGGAUCUCUGCCCCCCGUCUCUCUGCCCGUCCCCGGUGUGUUCGCUCUCGAAAAUAAGCUUAAACACGAAGGGGCAUAGCCGGAGGUGAACCCCCUGCUGUCUGCCUCCAGUGCUGGGUGUGACAUUCUCCCUGGAAGAGGAGGAGUUCCUCUGCACCGUCCUGGGGGACCCACGCCAGGCAGCGUCCAUCCUUUCUGGAUACCCGGCUCAAUGGGAAGUAGGCCAACUGGACGGUAGUAAAGCUUCUAGAAACCGUAACACUCAUUGUUAUUCAUCUCGUAUCCUUAAAGUACCAGGCGCUUUUUCUGGGCGCUGAGGAUACAGCAGUGAGCAAAAUGUGUGUGUGUGUGUGUGUGUGUGUGCGCACGCGUGUGUGCAUAUACAACAUGCACGUGCACGCAAAUCGUGAGGGGCCACACGCACGCCCUGUAGUUCUGAUACUAACCACCCAGAGUUAGCUCAGACUCCACGUGUUCAGGGCACAGCCCCAGCCAGGGCGGGAUCCCAGGCCACCUCCUGAGCGCGCUUCUGACCGCGGCCCCCUCAGGGGCCGGGAACGACUCUAACUUGGCAAAGGGCCUUCCUUACAGCUCCGCUAGAAAGGACGCAGAUCGGGACCAACCCGAUGAGGAGAGGAGCCCCCACUGCCCUCCCUGCAGAAUCAGGCCAUCACCCUCCCGGCACACGGAAGAGUUCACCAACUGGAAAGUUCCCCUGAGCCUCAGUGUCCAGCGUUUAUUGGGGUUUGGUGAGGGAAUCACCGGCCCCACGAUGGAACCCACUGAACCCUCUUCCUCUCCCAGGUCUCAGCAGGUCAGGCCGGUGCCUGUGGCCCGGAGCCCCAGCCCACCGACCCCGUGGCUGGUCCACCAGCAGUCCCAGCCCCCACCCAGACUCACUUCCUUAGCACAAACCCAGGUGUGGUCCAAGAGCCCAAAGACACCCUUAUCACUGGGGAAGUUCCAAGGCUCGAGAGCCUCUGUCCCAGGAACCCAGUUCCAGGACCAGACAAGUGGUUAGGGGACAAGAACCUUGAAGGAAUCACAAGGACUCGGGUUUUCACUUCGAAUGAGAUGGGAAGUUAGUGCUGGGUUCUGAGACCUAAUUUCUGUGUUAACAGAGUCACUCCGGCUGCUGGGUUGUGAACAGACUGUGUGCGGACAGGGGACCCGUCCGGUGGCUCCUGCGGACGGGGCUCGUCUCUGGAAUUAUUUGAGGAUUAGAACCGGCAGGAUGCGCUGAUGGAGGGGAAGCAGUGGGAGAGAGGAAGGGAAGGGCAGAGAACGGAGCUUGUCUUGAGGACCCGGAGGAAGAGGGUGCUCUUUGCUGCGGGGCCCAGGUUUGGGGGAGGAAGAUGGGGAGCUCCGUUUUGGAGGGAAGUGGGAGAUGCCCGUGGGACACACAUAAAGUAAGUGUCUUGGCCGAAGCGGCCGGAGCUGGGGGGGGGGGGGGGUCUGAGCGGGCUGGAGGCGGUGGGUGUGCGCCCGGUGAACUCGGCAGGGAGCGAGGGCAGAGGGGACCACAGCAGGCACAGGACCAGGGUGAGCCCCGGGAGAGUGCCAGGCCGCCAAGCCCCGGGGGGCAGCGGCCGGCCGUGCCAGAUGCUGCUGGUCCGUGCAGCAAGGUGGGAGCCAAGGUGAGGGGAGAUGUUGGAUUUAGCCGCUUGGGGGUCCUUGGUGACCUUGACCCCGGAAACCGUGGCGUGGGGCCCGGGAGGAGAGCCCCGCGUGCAGGAGCUCGUGGUUUGCUGUGAGUGGAGAAGCGGGGCGGGAGCCGGGCCAGCGGAGGACACCCAGCCGGCGUGUGCGCAGGGCCCGUGGGGAGGAAACGGCGGUUUAAGAACGCGGGCUGUCUGGUCACGAGAAGAGGAGACUCUGGGGCACGUCAUAACUCUGCUCACAUGCUUGAAGCACUGUCAUGUGGAGGAGAAUUAGAUUCAUUUUAUGUGACUCUAGAGAGAGGAACCAGCCCCGGCGGUUAGAGGCUGCGGACGGGGUGGGGGGGGGGGGGCCUGCAGGGCCGCCAAAGGGAGAAUUUGUGCACCUGCUCGUUGACUCGCUGAAGACAGCCACGGUGCGUGCCUACUGUGUGCGUGACACUGGCCUGGGCGCCCGGGGUCGAGCCCUGCGGGGGACUCAGCCCCUCGGGCUGGCGGGGAGGGCGACCCCCCCCCCCGGGGUCCGCCUGGGGAGGUGGUGCGGAGAGAGGUCAGGCUGUGCGGGGGAGCCGUGAAGGCUCGUGGAGGCCAGUCACCUUCUGAUGACUGAGAACCUGUUUGGCUUAAAUAAAUGAGGCUUAAAAAGGUACUUGAACCUCAGUUAUCAGGUACAUUUUCUGGAUGGCUAGGCCGUGUAGUUACAGCCUUAAUAACAACGAGGGCUGAGAGCUGGGUGCCGCUUUGUCGUUUACGGAGCACACGUGAUCCCGCCCAGAUCGCUCUGCUGUCCCUGUUUUCUAGUUGGGUGAACUGAGGCUCAGCGCGGUGAGCCUUGCCUGAGGUCGUAAUUGCUACAGAGCCGGGCCACAACCACGUUCCCGAGUCCCCGGUCCCCUGUGCACGUCCUUCCCGGAGCGGCCAGGGGCUCGGCCACACUGGUUAUAACCUGCUCUGACCUGCGCACACAAGUGUUUCAGGGCCAGGGUUCGGGUGUCCUGUGGAAUGUUCCAUAAGCCGUGCCCCCUCCCCGGUGUGGCUCCCACAAAAAUGAUCUGCUCUGAGUGAGCUGGCAGGUCCCAGGACUUUCCUGCGCCUCCGCCGGCCCCGACCCUCCCUUUCUCUUGACCAAGAGAUCUCUGGAGCCCAAGAGCAACCUAGCCCUGGGCUUCCGCGGGCUUCCUCCACCAGCACUCCCGUCCUUGGCUCCUUGGUGCCGAUGACACUUAUCAGGUCCCCGAGAUCAAAAAGGGUGAGGAAUCCAAAAAUGAAAUAAGGAAGAUGGAAGGAUCGGGCAAUCAUCAUCAUCAUCAUCAUCAUCAUCAUCAUCAUAACAACUAAAACUUGCCCGGGGCUUAGUCUCUGUGAGGAAAUACUGAUAUCACGUCCGUUUUACAGACGAGGACACUGAGGCACAGAGACGUGAAGCACAUGGUCCCAGGCUGCACAGCAGAGCUGGCUACUGACCAACUUAGCUCCUAGAUGCGCCUGCCUCCCGUGAGAGGAAGAGGGGAGAAGCAGAGACCAGGAAUGGUUUCCAUCCAGCACGAUUUUUCGAGCCUCCGGUGUACGAAGCCAGGAGGGAAGAAAUAGACGUAGUUCCUGCCCCCAGUGAACCCACAGCUGCAGACUCACCCAGCAUCAAAGCGGGAAGGGAUCUCGGAGCUGUCGCCCAAAGUGGGACACAGAAAGGUGCAGAGAAACACCUAGAAGGAAAAGGGAACACACACCUUUGCUCGUGUACAAAAAUAACAUAAAACACACAAGUCAGCAGUUCAA